UACGAAGGGGGCUAGCGUUGUUCGGAAUUACUGGGCGUAAAGCGCACGUAGGCGGAUAUUUAAGUCAGGGGUGAAAUCCCAGAGCUCAACUCUGGAACUGCCUUUGAUACUGGGUAUCUUGAGUAUGGAAGAGGUAAGUGGAAUUGCGAGUGUAGAGGUGAAAUUCGUAGAUAUUCGCAGGAACACCAGUGGCGAAGGCGGCUUACUGGUCCAUAACUGACGCUGAGGUGCGAAAGCGUGGGGAGACAAACA
rnacentral:rRNA from 1 species